rnacentral:tRNA from 1 species
GGCGCGUUCGUAUAUCGGUUAGUACUUCAGAUUUUCAUUCUGGAAAGAGGAGUUCGACUCUCCUACGCGCUA